UGUUCUGAAAAAAAAAGAAAAAAAACUCUCUGAAACGGUUCCCAAGUCCUUUGAGCUCCGGCCCUAGGCCGACCGGCUCUGUUCAUCGGACCUCCGCAUUCAUAUCCACGUGCUGUCACCGACUCCGCCCCACACGACGGUCGGAACUUGAAAAGCUUCGCUUUUCAGGGCGAUUCUUAAGGUGAAUCGCGAAGAUUUCGUUCAAGCACCCCUGACCACGUGCUGAUGGGGCUAGUACUGGAUUGUGACGCAUGAUGAUCCCGACGUGAUUCGCGCGCUGAUGGUGGUGCGACGCAUGGUGGCGAAGUUGAAGGGUCACAGCGCUGAUAGAUAGAGCAUUGAUGACCGUCUUAAUUCGGGGAACUGGAUAGUCGCUCCCCGAAGUUUCCAGAAGACGUUGCGGCGCCAGAAGGAAUAGGCAGAAAAC